CAUUUUCAAGUUUUAAUCACAAAAAUAGAUCCUAAGGAGAAAAAUGACCAAAAUGUUUUAUUUUUUAUAUAUUUUCAGAUUUUAUGUUUUCAAAUUCCAACUUUUUUAUAAAAAAAUUCUUUUGAUUUUUUUAUUUUUUUUCCAAAUUUUCUUUUUGUAAUUCGAAAUACUUUUUGAAACUCUUUUUAAAAAUUUUUUUUAAUUUUUUAAUAUUUAUUUUUUUUUUAUAAAAUUUUAAAAUUUAAUCUCAAAUCCUCAUCCUUUAACUCAAAACUCUAAGGAGGGUGUAUUGAAUUGGGAAUUGAGAAUGCUUGGAGGGAUUUUAGUUAUGGUGAGAUUUGGGAGGGUUUUGAGUAAAUGAGAUGAUUU
rnacentral:lncRNA from 1 species